UACGUAGGGUGCAAGCGUUGUCCGGAAUUAUUGGGCGUAAAGAGCUCGUAGGCGGUUUGUCGCGUCUGCUGUGAAAACUCGGGGCUUAACUCCGGGCCUGCAGUGGGUACGGGCAGACUAGAGUGCGGUAGGGGAGACUGGAAUUCCUGGUGUAGCGGUGAAAUGCGCAGAUAUCAGGAGGAACACCGGUGGCGAAGGCGGGUCUCUGGGCCGUAACUGACGCUGAGGAGCGAAAGCUAGGGGAGCAAACAGG
rnacentral:rRNA from 1 species